ensembl:lncRNA
AUGGAGAAGCAACUAACAUUUUUCUUUUUCAUUUUCACUAUGUGUAGUCAACUAUAUGAUCACAGUAUGAUGGUUAUUCAAAAGGUACUCCCAUAUACAUUUGGAUUCCAGAAGGAUUCACCGAUUCCUGCCAUGACUCCCAUCCCAAAAACAAGCCUGGGAGAAUGCAGAUACAGAGACUGUGCUAAAACAACAAGAUGUUCUACCAACUUGGGAACAAAUUGGGACACUUUCAGCCCAAGCAAAACAAAGAAUGGAUAAGCAACAAUUUAUGCCUCCUGAUUGCACUGCCACCUUAAUUCUUGCCAUGUUAGCCAUUUUAUCUGUAUUCCCUGGUAUUUCUGCCAUUGAAAGCCCCUCAUCUCCCAUUACUCAUUUUUCUUUGUAGAAAUUCAUAGCUUCUCUCUCCCCUUUCUGUAUUGCUGUGCUCUAGUGACAAGAAAAGUUCCAAACCUAUUCAAGCUCAUGCAUUGAUUGUACAAUAUGUUUCCCCCACGACUUAUAGAAAUUCUUGCUAUGUAUUUUUAAGAAAUUGACUUAAUCCCUCCAUUCCUGCUAUCAUUGUAUUUGUUGUUAAAUAACCACCAUUUAUUAUGCUUCCUGUUAAUAUGACUAUUGACUGGUACAAUGGUUCGGGCAUUUAUGCUCUACAAUUAAUUUCCAACAGUUUAAACCAUCCUAAACCCUUCAUCGUACCCCUUAUUGGAUAUCACUGAACUCAUUGUAUCACUAGCAACCUUCCCUACAAGGAGUUCACACUACACAGACAAAUCAUGACUAUCAGUCACUCUGGUACCUCCCUUUAUUCAGCCUCAUUCAUCACUAAUUCAUUUUAUCUCCAAAGGUGAUUUUAUCCAUAUCUUUAUUGCUUGUGGAUUUGUUCUUGUCUUAUUUUUUCUUAUUCUUUUUUGCUUUCCAGUCCUCAUCCAAUACCUAGGGUCUACCGUUCGAAAAGUCCAAAUUAAACUGAAGUCUCUUCAGCUCAAAAAUUUUUAAAAAAUGGGGGGUAUGCUGGGGCCAUCAGUCCAUGAUGCCUUGACAGAGUGAUGCAUGGUAACUGGGGAGGCCACAGAGUGGUCCUUGGCGAGAUGUGACUGCCCACUCUAUUCCCUUUACAUGACCUCUUUCAUCAAUGCCCCUUACCUAUGAAUUGACAUGAUUAUUAUUCCCCCUAGUCUCAAAAGAAAUAAUGCAAGAGCAAAACACCUGUACCCUAAUUCUUCAAAACAUCACCAAAAGAUCAGACCCGCAAACCCAAUCCCAAAAGACAAUCGUGGGUUAACUUUUAAUUAGGUACAUAAUUCCCAGCAAAACCACAGCUGCAGGCCAAGCCCAAAACUUUCUCACAAAGCCAGUACACAAAUCAAUCAUAGAGGCCCAUACAAUUUGUACAGGUACAGUACAGUACAGGUACACUAAGCUUCAAUAUGCCUCAGUAAUUCAAUUACACAAAUCAGUAACUCAAACUCCCUAGUAAGCCACCUGUGAAAAAUCACUUAUUCUGUCUGCAAUCACAAUACAAAAAUUUAGAAUGUUAAUCAAGUGAUUUCUUAAAAGUUAAUGUAUCACUUUCCCAAUUAUCUCUCCUUAAUUCUGUAUACCUGCAUGCCAAGAAAAUGGGUAUAAAAAUAAAUCCCAGGCCUGGGAAUGUGGAGCA